rnacentral:rRNA from 1 species
UACGUAGGGGGCAAACGUUGUCCGGAUUUAUUGGGCGUAAAGCGCGUGUAGGUGGCCAAGUAGGUCCGCUGUGAAAACUUGAGGCUCAACCUCAAGCUGUCGGUGGAAACCCCUUGGCUAGAGUCCGGAAGAGGAGAGUGGAAUUCCUGGUGUAGCGGUGAAAUGCGCAGAUAUCAGGAAGAACACCAAUGGCGAAGGCAGCUCUCUGGGACGGUACUGACACUGAGACGCGAAAGCGUGGGGAGCGAACAGG